GUAGAAAGUUUGGAGGUGGAU
rnacentral:miRNA from 1 species